CCUGGUGGUCAUAGCGUUGGUUCAAACCCCGUUCCCAUUCCGAACACGGCCGUGAAGCCCAACAGCGCCCAUGGUACUGCGUCUUAAGAUGUGGGAGAGUCAGACGCUGCCAGGU
rnacentral:rRNA from 1 species